rnacentral:rRNA from 1 species
GGUUCUAUUUUGUUGGUUUCUAGGACCGCCGUAAUGAUUAAUAGGGACAGUCGGGGGCAUCAGUAUUCAAUUGUCAGAGGUGAAAUUCUUGGAUCUAUUGAAGACUAACUACUGCGAAAGCAUUUGCCAAGGAUGUUUUCAUUGAUAAGGAACGAAAGUUAGGGGAUCGAAGACGAUCAGAUACCGUCGUAGUCUUAACUAUAAACUAUGCCGACUAGGGAUCGGACGAUGUUAUUUCUUGACGCGUUCGGCACCUUUCGAGAAAUCAAAGUGCUUGGGCUCCAGGGGGAGUAUGGUCGCAAGGCUGAAACUUAAAGAAAUUGACGGAAGGGCACCACCAGGGGUGGAACCUGCGGCUUAAUUUGACUCAACACGGGGAAACUCACCAGGUCCAGACACAGUGAGGAUUGACAGAUUGAGAGCUCUUUCUUGAUUCUGUGGGUGGUGGUGCAUGGCCAUUCUUAGUUGGUGGAGUGAUUUGUCUGCUUAAUUGCGAUAACGAACGAGACCUUAACCUGCUAAAUAGCCCGUACUGUUUUGGCAGUUCGCCGGCUUCUUAGAGGGACUAUCGGCUCAAGCCGAUGGAAGUUUGAGGCAAUAACAGGUCUGUGAUGCCCUUAGAUGUCCUGGGCCGCGCGCGCGUUACACUGACAGGGCCAGCGAGUACCUCCUUGACCGAAAGGUCCGGGUAAUCUUGUUAAACCCUGUCGUGCUGGGGAUAGAGCAUU